rnacentral:rRNA from 1 species
AGUGAACGCUGGCGGUAGGCCUAACACAUGCAAGUCGAACGGCAGCACAGUAAGAGCUUGCUCUUACGGGUGGCGAGUGGCGGACGGGUGAGGAAUACAUCGGAAUCUACUUUUUCGUGGGGGAUAACGUAGGGAAACUUACGCUAAUACCGCAUACGACCUACGGGUGAAAGCAGGGGAUCGUCGGACCUUGCGCGGUUGAAUGAGCCGAUGUCGGAUUAGCUAGUGGGCGGGGUAAAGGCCCACCAAGGCGACGAUCCGUAGCUCGUCUGAGAGGAUGAUAAGCCACACUGGAACUGAGACACGGUCCAUACUCCUACGGGAGGCAGCAGUGGGGAAUAUUGGACAAUGGGCGCAAGCCUGAUCCAGCCAUACCGCGUGGGUGAAGAAGGCCUUCCGGUUGUAAAGCCCUUUUUUUGGGAAAGAAAAGCAGCAGGUUAAUACCCCGCUGUUCUGACGGUACCCAAAGAAUAAGCACCGGCUAACUUCGUG